UAGAUGCAUGUUAACAGAAUUUUGUGUUUAUAUACAUAUGUAGACACUUAAACACUGUUGCAAAUAAAAAAAAAACUCAUGACUACACCAAUACAAAAGCAAAAUGUCUCCUUCCACAAAAAAAAGUAUAAACACAGGAAUUAGAGAUGCAGAUUCUGGUUCUGAAGGCCAAUAUCAUUUUGCAAGUCUUGUACAGCUCAGUCCUGCAGAUACAAAUUUCAGCUUUGGCAAUGGUGCUUUCACUAGCCAAAAAACAAAAAACUGUAUUUCAAAGUUUUACUCAAUAUUAUCUAUUUGAAUCUUGGCAGAUUUCAGCCACCAGGCAAUUUUUGAUGCUCCUCUAGCAGAAAUACACAAAAUUUCUCUGAAUUUUGGCUUUCACGUCUGCCUCAAAUUGCAGCUUCCGCCUUCACUGUAAAACAUUACACUUUAAAAACUAUCCCAUAAACCUCUUGACAAAAUGUUCAAACCUUAAAAAACAACAUCAGGGGCCUAACCCCGGGUUUCCACGGGAGCCGUCAGCAGCACGUUACUGCAGCAGCACGUCUUGCUCGCGUAAACUGCUGCUUGGCCCUUCCCACGAGACGCGAAGCAGCAGGGGAGCAGCUGUCACCGACCGAGCACGAAGUCACACGAGUGACUUCGUCAGUAAACACAACAACAAGCAGGAGAAAAUUACAACAUGGUUUGUGUUUCAUGUUCUGUCUGUUUUAUAAUCGCCAAUACGGACCUGAAAAACAACGGAGACCGCUAGCUAGGUGAUAACUUCUCACGGGGACGCACAGUUAGUAACCUUUUUUAAAAGUAAAGCAGCCGGAAAGCAGUACGUUCUUUAUUCUGAAAAUCUCGGUAGCUUCUCUCCUUUUCCGCGUCCGAUUUCCUGUCUUUCCUUCCCCAAAAAUGUCGAACUUGACCCGUUUCAGAGGCGUCGUGCGUAGAAAAUAGAACCGGCGCGUAAAGGCCACGACAUGCUGCUUCUGAGACGUGGCCGACUCGCGCUGCUGACGGCUCCAAUGGAAAAGGUUCUGUUGACCACAGCGGUUCCUAUCAGCAGCUAUGACGUGCUGCUGCAGUAACGUGCUGCUGACGGCUCCUGUGGAAAGCCGGGGUAAGCGUUACACUGAUAAAACUGCAGUUCCUCGAACAACCUCUUGGACCCUUUUGUCCAAAUGUGGAACCCAAUAACAAAAACAAACCACAUUUACAGCCCGGUGCAAGAAAAGGUUUGGAUCUUUAUACCCCAAUAACUUCAUUUAUAAUAUCCUUUGUGAUGAGUAUUUGGCUUUAGUUAGUUUGCACGGUCAGAGUUUAGACACAUUUAUAUGAAGAUUUGUUUUAAAAUAUGUUUAUUUUAAUCUUUAGGGUUAAUAGUUAAAAAGUUUUAUGUUUUUUAUUCUGACCAAUUAAUUGUAUUUAAAUUUACUUGGAUACAUAAAAACUAUAUCAUACAUACAUUAUGUAAGUAUUUUUGGAGUACCUAUAGGAGGCGCUGUGACCUCAUUACCAUCAUGCUUUAUUUUCUGUGAAAAGUUUCAAAUAUUAAUUCUGUUAUUCUGUCAUCUCUGUCAAUAGACUUCUGUUUGUCUUUGCUAAUUUAUUUAUGUCCCUUUGCUUAUUACUCAUCUCUGCACACAGCCCUAUCUCUUUCUCUUAUGUACUCUCCAUCUCUCUCUUUUGCUCUACAUUACAAAUGAUGAAUUUUUUUAAAUUAUGUAUUUAUUCAGAGAGCUUAACAAAAUAGGUCAUUACUGUACAUUGUAUGUUGUUUGCAGCUGUUGUGGGGGACUUUUUUGUGCCAUAACACCCUCUUUUACACUAAUAGCCCCUCUCCAGUACUAAUAGUGUUACAUAAACUGAUACAGUACAUGGAUGCAGUCAGACACACAAAAUUAGCAAAUACUACUUUGAAAUGCUGCAAUGAAGAAUGAAAUUUUGUAUACGCUGAGUUAAAUGCAGUAUGCUGAAAAAUGCUUUAGAUGAUACAAUAUUUAGUUGCACGACAGUCAACCGAUUAGUCUGUGUUUUAUUUUUAUUAAUACUGUUAUAAGGAUUUGUCUUUAGUGUCAUUUUAUUAGCGAAUGAGCAUCUUUAUGUGGCUACAAGUAUGCUAAUGUAAGUCUAGACCUGUGAAAAGUUAUUUUUAGAUUAGACUUUUAGAUAUUUGUUUCUGUUUUUUCUUUAGUCAAAGAUAAGCUGAAUAAAUAAAAAAUGCAGUUUUCUUGUUUAUUGUUAUGAUGAUUAUUAUUAUAAUAAUACAUUCUUAACUCAUUCACUGCCAGCCGUUUCCUGAUCAGUAAAGGCCUUUGCUGCCAGCGUUUUUCAUCGUUUUUACUGUUUUUUAAGCGUCACAGAACGUUGCGCGCUAGGAUGAUGUCAAUGCCAAAACUACCAAAACAAAGAGUAGACUCACCUCUUACAUCAGGAAGAAUCCGCGCGUUUUGAGCGUUAUCCAUUCUUCCAUAAUCUGUUGUCGAAUUGUGAUCGGCAGAAGCUUUUCCGGUUUGCACCUCACUUUUUAUACAGCAACAGCCCAAAACGAUCUCCUAACACAUGGAUUUUCUGCUUCCUGAUCACGUGACGUGUGACGUACGCGGAUGAAGAUUGGCUUUAGAGCUGGGAUGUUCGUUCACACGGUGCGGGGGCUCGUUCCGACGCCUACACAGUAAAAAAAUGCAAAUGACGAAUUUAGUCAUCAUUGGCAGUGAACGGUUGAAUUUAAAAUGAUGACUUUUGUUGUCAAUGGCAGUUAAUAUAAUAAGAGAGACAAUUAUCAAAAUCAAUUCAACUCCAUGUGAAACAGUAAUUAAAUGUAGGGUUGAUGUUCAUUGAAAAAAAACUGUUCAUAACGUUCUUACCUUUUCAAUCCAUUGUUGGCAUCUUUUCUGCCAUAAUUCCUAGUGCACAUAAGUAACAGCUGGGGUCCUCCAGGCUGGUUAGGAGUUCUCCGGACUCUGUCCCCUUUGGAAGUUUCAGAGAUAGAAGCCACUGGGACAUAGCCUAGAAAUCUAGACAGACAGUAAAAGGAUUUUACUCUGCAGGUCAGUCUAGCCACACUCCAUUGGACCCUCAGCAGGCCCGAACACUCUUGUGUCUUGCCAAUCAUAGCUCUCCUGGGGCCUCAUUCAUCAACCGUACCUAUGCACAGAUCUAUGCAUAUUUCGUGACAGUGUGGUAUUUACCAAUUUGUACCUGUGCUUAGGAAUGUUCCUAAAUGUAAGAAAAUCUGAACUCAUGCGUAUGAACAGUGUCUAGAGCUAAAAUCUAUAAAAGACACCCGUGCCCGACGGGAGUCUGACAUUAUAUCAUGGCUGAUACGUGUUAUUUGAGGAUUUAACGGAUCUCUCUAGAGGGAACGCAUUCUCUGUGAGCGCUCUGAUCUCAAAGGAAAUCUUUCUCCUUUAGUGCGGUUUUGGACCCUUUGUGGCACGAGAGAAUCCAAUUCCACUUCAUUUAUUUUACAACUGAGCUCUGUCUAUGAGAUGUGGCCAGACAGCAACAAUGGCAGAGGAGUUAAGUGUCCACUCCGUAAUUGGAAGGUUGCAGGUUCAAUCCCCGCUCAGUUUGUUGCCAUCUUUGUCUCUGUGCAAGACACUUAACCCUCACUUCCUGCUGGUGGUGGCCGGAGGGACUGGUGGCGCAAGUGUACGGCAGUCUCGCUUCUGUCAGUCAACCCAAGGGAAGCUGUGGCUAUUGUAGCUCAUCAACACCAGGGUGUGUGUGAAUGGGUGAAUGACUAAUUGUGUUGUAAAGAACCUUGAGGGGUUCAAGGACUCAAGAAGAUGCUUUAUCAGACACAGAUUAUUUACCAUAAUCACACAUGUAUAAUGGCUUACCAGGCUAACUGGGACCUAGAUUGCAGAUGCAAUUGGGAGGACUGCCCUUUUUACUGUGGAAACCUCCUCUGCCACUUCCACUCAGGAUACAUAAUUGCUUAAUAUUAUAGGAUGCUAGCUAAUGUAGCUAGCUCGACUCUGGCUUUGCCUCUUAUUUAACUGUUCCAAGCUGACAACAUGCAACUUGUGCGCAGAGGAAGCAGGGAUGGUCUAAGGGCUGGUUGAUGGAUGGAUCAGGAUCCGGUUGUUAAGAAUUGGAUGUUCACAAUUAUUGGAUGAGGAUUGUACUUUUUAGAGGCAAUCUAAAGUGAAUAUUUUUUGACAAAACAUUUAACUUAUUGGUUGCCAUCGAUGUGUGAGGAGAAUUUCAAGGAAUGUGACAAAAAUGCUCCCGAAAAACAUCUAUACUACCUUUAAAGCUACAAUAGCAAAUUUGGAGCAAAAAAAUACAUUUUUUCAUGCCUCUUAACAACGUUCUAAUGUAGUAUAUAAAUAUAUUGUGGAGAUAAAAAAAAUGAAUGAAAUUGUUCUCUCGCAAAUAUUCUCUCACAAAUGUCUAAUGCGCCUCAGGCCAAAAGUAGUCAUUGGACCAUCCAGUUGUUGGUCUCUCUGAACCGCCGCACUUCACUGCUUUCCUUGGUCCUCCAUUCAUUAUGCAGUUGCAUAAUUUGCAACAGAACACCACUGGUGGGAGAGGUUUGUGGCUCAAUAAUAUCAGAGGGAGAAACAGCUGGCUGCUACCACUUCAACUUUAGGACCAACUACCGGAGUCCAAAAAAGAAAAACGCCAUUUGAAUUCACGGAUGACAAAAAAUGGCUGUGUCUCAAUUCAGGGUCUGCAUCCUACGUUGGCCGGAUUCGUCGGCCGGUUACGUCACAGCGCCGCGACUAGGCCUGUCCCAAUUCGAAGACUCCUUCAAAUGCGGUCGACGAAUGCGGCCUUCUUUUCGCCUGAAUGAAGGAUGGGUCCGGUGUAUCCUUCAAUAGGUAGCAUUUCCCAAGAUGCCUUGCCGGCAGAAAAACUUAAAAACAAUGGCGGACAGUGAAGCGGGAGCUGUCGGAGAGGAUUGCGCAUAUAAAUGAACAAAAGAGAAAACCAGGGAAUUUAUUAAGCUUAGGGCGGGGAUGGACCACAUGAUCACUGGAGCAAAGUAUUCGGCGGCUGUGGCUUGGAGACUAUUCUGGAGAAAAUGGGCAUCCAGGGGAAGGUGCCAGCGAUGACCAGCUCCUGGAGCUGAUCAGGGAGGGCAUGAGGCUGCAGAGGGAGGCAGAGCAGCAGAGGGCACAGGAGAGAAGGGAGAACUUUGACAGCUUUUUACUUUGCUAGAAAGAAAUGGUUAAUAAAGAUUAAACAUGUACAUAUAAAAGAAAUAUCUAAAUAAAAUCAGUUCUGCAUUAAACUCUUGAAUUUUAUUUUUGUUUACAAAUGAGAAUUGUUUACUAGAGGGUAUCCGCUGGGUCUUGAAAAGUCUUAAAAGGUGAUAAAUCUGUUUUGGUCAAAUUAAGACCCUUAGAAAGUAUUAAAAACUAUUAUCACAUCUUUGCUCAGGCUCAGCUUGUCUAAAGUAUUUUCUUUGAAUUAACUCUCCAACGGUCAAGGAAAUGCUUAACCCCCAGAGACCCACGGUUGUAAUAUUACAACAUCAGAUUUAAGUCUACAAAAAUAAACCUUCCCCUUUUUUUUCUUUUUAAAACCACAUUUACAUUUGCUAAUAGGUCCUAUUGUUCAGUUCUGCAACACUAUUGGCUGUUAAAAUGUGUAAAUAGGCCCGUUUAUCUGGCCUCCUAGACCAACAUGUGAAAGGUUAAAAAAAAGAUUUUGCAGUUGUUUUCUAAAUUUGGGAUUUCUGGGGGUUAAAAAGCUAAAUAAAACGUCGAGCUCCAUCGUUUAAAGUUCCUUCUCCCUUCUGCCCAGCGGUUCCACGGUUGCUAGGCGACGGAAGUUCGCUGAGGGAGUUCAUGAAGGCUAGGCCUGUCCAAAUUCACAGCCGUUAACAUCCGGUCUACCCGGCCGACGGAGGACGCAGCCCAUGUCGGCCGGGUAGGCUGGGUCCUUCGAAGGAUGCAGACCCUGAAUUGAGACACAGCCAAUGUUUGGACCUAGGAAAUGGUGACUGGUGUUUACCACUAUCUGGUUUCCUCUGGCAAUUUGGGUUUCUGGUUCUGGUAGAAGCAUCUCAGGGAAGAUACCCAAGUGGAGGGAUGAAUGUUCCAUGACUGUGUGUGCAUUCAAAACCCGUUUGCAUAUUUGCAAUAACAGCUUUAAAUCAUGAUUUCACAUCAUUAUUUGGAAAACUUAGGUCUUGCCACACUUGGGCCUGAUUACUGUCUGACCUGUAGAAUUAAAGAAAAUUUGAAAAAGCAACAUGUCAUGUUCCAUUCAAACUGUUACAUUUUACGAGGCGUGCACCUGGUGUAAAACCAACAUUAUAUUAAAGAAAAAACAUCAUACCAAGAGUCAAACAUGGUGGUGGUAGUAUGGACUGGUGCUGUUUUUCUGCUUUAGGACCUGGACCACCUGCUGUAAUCGAUGGAACCAUGAAUUCUGCUUUCUAGCAGCAAAUACCAAAGGAGAAAGUCAGGGAAACCACCACCAAAAAUGCAAAACAACUGAGAGAAUCUGUGAGGGGUCGAAUUGUUUGUCACAUCAAUGUAUUUGUGUCCGUCCUCUCAGAAGUGUUGUGAUAGCAUCUGAUAGAUGAGAUCUGUCUGAUGCACAUGGCGUUGCUUCUGUUUAUCAGCCCCUUGCUUCUGGUGUGUCUGUGUUUGCGUGUUUGCGCGUUAAAUGUUAAAUAUUGCGUAUUUUUAGUAGCAUUUGUAAUUUUAUAUCUCGCAUCUAUAAUUGUGCAUGAUUACAGCUUUUGGGGUUUGCCAUUAUUUGUUGAUCCAGUUAAUAAUUUUAUUCCAAACAGGACUGAAUGUUAAACGUGAUUGUAUGAUUUUUAAUUUCCCACUGAUAUGUAUUCAUGUAAUUUGCUCAUUAUUUUUCAGUUUUUAAUCUCUUCUCGGGUUGCAGAUGCCAACAGGCCUUUGCAUUAAAAUGCAGUUGCCCAUAGGAUGCUUUUUUCCUGGUAUCCAUGCAUUUCCAAUUGUUAUCUGCUGUCAUUUGUGAGCUUAUUGUCACGCUGCAUUGGCCCAAACAGCUCCAGAACUUGAUUCUCACACACACUCCAUCAUAUUCCUCAAUGAAACAAACUGCUCCAUAAAACAAACCACUACCUGCCUCUCUUUCUUUUCUGAAAUAGUUUGUCCAUGGAACCAAGAAACACUCUGUGCUGUGUUGUUUAUUACCAGUAUACAGACACAGUUUAUCACAGAUGGACUAAACACACAUACACACACACACACACACACACACACAAAAA